AGAUUAAUUGCAAUUGAAUUUUUAAUCAGGUGUCCUCAUGCAAACACAUAAUUUAGAACCAUUACAAAUGAUGAAAAUCAUAAAAAAUGUGUACAAUAUACAGUGCCAUUUCUUGCUCUAUGAAGUUUCUACAGAAGCAGAGGACCAUUGAAGUCACUAAGGGCCUCCCAAAGCUGCAAGUUACGCCUCAGUAUGAACAUUACCCAUCUGUUUGUAGCCACCAAGCACUUGAAGUAGGCUUAAAAAUUAAACAUUUGAUAUAAACAAAACCAAGCUGCUGUGCCAGAGAAUGUUUGGCUUGUGUUUGUGGGGUAAUUAAUUCAAAAUCAAUUAUUAUCACCAGGUUGUCUUGUCGCUCUAUGAGUGAUGUCUACCGACAUGUUUGAUAGAAAAGCUCGUUGACACCACAUAUCAGGAGUAGCUUAUUGGAUCGGCAGGGCUUGAAUUGCCUAGUGAUGGGCAGAGUGAAGCCUCACGAAGCAUAGAAACAUUUGAAUCAUUUGUGUCGAAGCAUUUGAUACUCACCUGUCUAGUGACACCUCCUGGCUAUUCGCAUUAGUGUUACACAACUCAAACAAACUCAUGAUCAAGGUCAAUGACGUCUGUUAAACUCUAUUGCUUUUAGUUUUUUGCUGCUACACACUGGUGACAAAGAGAUGGGGUCGUCAGCAGCUUCCAGUGUCUGAAGUGUAAAUAGAUAUAUAUUUUGUUUCAUGUGUAUAACAAAAACAAAUCAUAUGAGUAACGAUUUCAACUGUUAUUUUGGUUGAUGAUUGCGGGUUUAGGGGUUUAAUUAAUUAAAUAUUAAAUUAAUCAGAUGGAAUGUGUUCUUACUUUAGGGGGGGGGUGCUACAUGGUAAAUGUGUUAGUGACUGGGAUUGUGCCUCUGUAACUUGAAGAUCGAUUAUGAAUGAUACAGACUGGACAACUAUCAUAUUUGUUUAAAGAAAUGUUUUAUUAUUGUACUGUGCUGUAACGAAGACAACUUUUUACAUAUACCUUCAUCAUUAUAUGAUAUAAGUUCGUCAUCAGGUACCUGGAGGACAUCCGGGACAAGAUAAAAUGGGCCGCCUUACUCCAUUCAGGGAGCAGGAGUCGGGUGGAAGAAGGCAACGCUCGAGAGUGAGGGGGAAAGGCGGCUCAGGGAGGACUGUUGAGAGGCCCUGAAUGAAGAGUGUUUGGUGCCGGAGCAUUGUGUGUGUGCGGGACUAUUUGGACACUUAUAUUGUACAUACUUGCUCGUGUACGAGAUGUGAUGAGACAUGGGCCGUCAAUCUUUGAGAAGCACAAGGAAAGGGCAGUCGGAGCGAUUGUAUUGCACGCCGGCGUGAAUGACAUAAGGCACCGACAGUCAGAAAUUCUUAAUGCUGACUUCGCGCACUACUUAAAGAUAGGAAGGAGAGGACCCCAUCGGCAAAGAUCUUCAUUUCGGGUCCACUACCUCUCGUCAGACAAUCAAAUAAGUACUACAGUCGUCUGCUAGGAUUAAACAAUUGGCUGCAUGGCUUCUGCAAGAAUCAAGACAUCGGAUUCAUCAACAACUAGGACCUCUUCUUGGAAAGGCCACAUUUCUUUAAGUGAGAUGACCUGCAUCCGAACAGUUUCAGCACCCGGGUCUUCUCCGAAAACAUAUCUAAGGAUUAGCCACAUAAUCACAGAUCUCCCUGCAUGACUUGGUCUCUCGGUCCACAGUGUCCUCCAGCCUGCGUCUGAUCAGCUCAGAUUGACCGAGGUGUUGUCUUGCUCAUGGAUGAUUCAACACUGUCCAAUUACAUUCCCUCCUAUGGAGACAGACUUUCACUUUUCAAUUUCUGCAGAAAUCAAAAUACCACCACAUUACAAAAAUCUGGCCUUCUUCAGAAGCUCUGUGACAAAAUGAAAUUAAGAAAGGCAAACAAUGAAAGUGUAAAGACACCUCAACAUUCUCAAUCCCGUUCUCGACCAAUAAAAACACGCACCACAGAGUUAGGGUGGAUACACAGUAACAAGGGGGAAACUAAACAGGUCAGAGCAAAACAAGAUGGGGGCACACCAUGCCAGUCAGUGCUGGAUUCGCUGAAAACAUGAAAGAGGCAAGGGGUCUUUUUGUCCCUGUUGGUUUCUCAAGCAAAGGGUAUGAAUCUGAAUUCAUAUUUGCUAUCUGGGACGUCAAACAAACUUCACUUGAUCAUCAUAUCACAAUUGGUUUAAUAUAUGACACCAUCAAACUACAAAAAACAAAGGAGCAGUCAGAUGUUGAAGCCAGUACUAGUGAUCUUGAGGACUGUGGUGAUUCCAGGCCGACUACUACUGAGGAUUGUGACCCUCAGGAUGUGCCUGAUGAUUUUAUUGUUUCUGAUCAAAACCAAGUCAGUCCAAAUCACACACUCAGCACAGAUCAAUAUGACAUCCAUUAUCAGAUGAUGGAGGAAAGUGAAAUUGUUAGAUAGAUAUUUAGAUAGAUACUUUAUUAAUCCCAUGGGGAAAUUCACAUAAUCCAGCAGCAGUA